CGCAGCGCUGUCACACCCGACAGUCACACUGGCAAAAAGGGUGUCUACGUCUAUGGCCAACUCCACUUUUAUCUUUGUCAGCUUCCGGCUUGGCAACGACUCUACCUGGACUAGUAGUAGUCGCUCUUCGUUUCUUACAACCGCUGCGUGCUGUGUCGAUGGGAGCAGAGAACGGGAUCAAAUACUGUCGUGCCCUACGUAAUACGCAAAAAGUUGCGUGUUUGUUCUUUUCCUUUCGUUCGUCCGCUUAUCCUUCAUUUAUCUGGGACUCCUUGUAAUAGAUGAUAAAACACUUUUUCGAUAAACCAGAAUGCGGAACGAACUGAUGAGGAGCUAGUAUGCAAUAGUGCCA
rnacentral:sRNA from 1 species